rnacentral:lncRNA from 1 species
CGGGUUCAAGCAAUUCUCCUCCCUCAGACUCCUGAGUAGCUGGGAUUACAGAAACCCUCUUGUGAGCACGCCUGAAUUUGGAGGAUCACGUCACAAGCUCUCAAUAGCCACUUGAACUCAUGGCCUUAAAGAGCACAAGUAUCGGCCUUUGUCUUAGUCAAGCUUUCGAGGAGCAACUCAGCAAUUCUGUUACCGAUAAUCACCUAACAGUUUACACAUUCAAAACCACUGGGAAGCCACAGACCAGGCACCGUGGGAUGGGGAAGUGGAGACCGAGAGGCUGCUGCCGGGGAAAUAUGCAGUGCAGACAAGAGGGUAAUGGGUGUCCCGAUCUCGCGGGGGACUCUGUGAUCCGUGUUCCCCUGACCCUCCUAGUGCACAACUUGGCCGGGCUCACUGGGCUCCUGCACCACUGCCUGUCAGGUCCGCUGCCA